rnacentral:rRNA from 1 species
UACGGGGGGAGCAAGCGUUGUUCGGAUUUACUGGGCGUAAAGGGCGCGUAGGCGGUCAGCACAAGUCAGUUGUGAAAUCUCCGGGCUUAACUCGGAAAGGUCAACUGAUACUGUGCGACUAGAGUGCAGAAGGGGCAACUGGAAUUCUCGGUGUAGCGGUGAAAUGCGUAGAUAUCUGGAGGAACACCGGUGGCGAAGGCGGCAUCCUGGACCGAGAUUGACGCUGAUGCGCGAAAGCCAGGGGAGCAAACGGG